GUGUCCCAGUAUGGACAGGAGAAGAACGUGUACCUGGUGCCCUACGCGGCCGUGAGAGGCGGGCGCUCGGUCCGCCUGAGGGGGAGGACGCUGCCCAGCGCCGUGUGGAGCGAGUGGAGCACCACGCUGCCUUUCGGCCACCCGGAGCCGGAGGUCAGCGGCACCGCCGUGGCCCUGGUGGGGCUGCUGGUGGGGGCGGUGGUUUUACUCGUGUCCAUCCUGACGUUCCUCUGUACAAGGUGGCCCCUGAGGCGGACGCUCUUCCCACCGGUGCCGCAGGUGAAGCCGGAGCUGGUGGGCAGCCUCGCACCCUCGCCCAAGGUAAGCGCGCCC